rnacentral:rRNA from 1 species
CAGCUCUUCAAGUGGUCGGGAAUAUUAUUGGGCUUAAAGUGUCCGUAGCCGGUUAGAACAGUUCCUGGUAAAAUCUGGCAGCUUAACUGUCAGGUCGCUAGGAAUACUAUCUUACUAGAGGGUGGGAAAGGUUUGGGGUACUCCAGGGGUAGCGGUGAAAUGCGAUAAUCCGUGGGGGACCACCAGUGGCGAAGGCGCCAGACUGGAACACGCCUGACGGUGAGGGACGAAAGCCAGGGGAGCGAACGGGAUUAGAUACCCCAGUAGUCC